ACACAGACCCUCCCUCGGCAUGGGCCAAUCAGCCGCAGCUCGGUAUUUCCUUCAAUAUAGUGGCUCUAAUUUGGAACUGGCCCUUAAUGAAUACAGGAACCUGAGCAGUGAUUGAGAUUGCUACUUGAUGGCGAAGCAGGCUGAGGAGGUGAUGGGUGCCAAUCCAUGAUUCUGUGUGUGGAAAGAUGGGGCAGAAUGCAGAAUGGACAAGAUUCGAGAGUAGACGAAUGAGGGAUCUAAUAAGGCAUGUGGCAGUCUUCACCCCGCCACAGACGUUAUGGAAGAAGUCAAGGGUAAAUGACAAUGUGCAAUUAAGAGGACAACGAGGAGAGGGAGUCUGACUGAACCAUCCUGCAAAAAUGCCUGCAUAACAAUUUGUCACAAUAAUUAUGAAUAAUUACAGGCAGCAUCAUAAUAGCAUUUAUUGAUACACCUGCACAUAAUUGUCUAAAAAUGGUGUGCUGUGUUGUACAAGUGUGUAGUUGGGGAUGUUUCGAUCCUUCUUCAAAGAACUAUGCAUCUAUAUUAGUCAAACACGUGAACCACCAUACCAUGUAAUUGGCAAGUGGAGCAACUGACAUUAGCAGUACGAGACAUUGUUCUCUUCGAUGUGUGAUGACAAGAACAUCAUUGCUCUAACUGCGUAAUGCACUGGCAUGUGACAAUGUAAUGGCCAUUUCGUAGUUGAUGGUGUGGCACCACCUCUCCAGAGACUUGAUUCAGCAGU